rnacentral:rRNA from 1 species
UACGAAGGGGGCUAGCGUUGUUCGGAAUCACUGGGCGUAAAGCGCACGUAGGCGGACUUUCAAGUCAGGGGUGAAAUCCCGGGGCUCAACCCCGGAACUGCCCUUGAAACUGCAGUGCUAGAAUUCUGGAGAGGCGAGUGGAAUUCCGAGUGUAGAGGUGAAAUGCGCAGAUAUCAGGAGGAACACCAAUUGCGAAGGCAGCUCGCUGGGACGUUACUGACGCUGAGACGCGAAAGCGUGGGGAGCAAACAGG